rnacentral:rRNA from 1 species
AAUAGAUACCCGGGUAGUCCACCCCGUAACGUUGGAACUAGUUGUGGGGUCCUUUCCACGGAUUCCGUGACGCAGCUAACGCAUUAAGUUCCCCGCCUGGGGAGUACGGCCGCAAGGCUAAAACUCAAAGGAAUUGACGGGGACCCGCACAAGCGGCGGAGCAUGCGGAUUAAUUCGAUGCAACGCGAAGAACCUUACCAAGGCUUGACAUACACGAGAACACCCUAGAAAUAGGGGACUCUUUGGACACUCGUGAACAGGUGGUGCAUGGUUGUCGUCAGCUCGUGUCGUGAGAUGGUUGGGUUAAGUCCCGCAACGAGCGCAACCCUCGUUCUAUGUUGCCAGCACGUUAUGGUGGGAACUCAUGGGAUACUGCCGGGGUCAACUCGGGAGGAAGGUGGGGAUGACGUCAAAUCAUCAUGCCCCUUAUGUCUUGGGCUUCACGCAUGCUACAAUGGCCGGUACAAAGGGCUGCAAUACCGUGAGGUGGAGCGAAUCCCAAAAAGCCGGUCCCAGUUCGGAUUGAGGUCUGCAACUCGACCUCA